UUUAAUAUUACUAAUUUUUAAAAAUUAUAAAUAAUAUGAAACAUAGAGCAUAAAAAAUGGAAAAACUACAUUGAACAUAUGUAAAAUUACUAUUUUUCACUUUAAAAAAAAAGACGGUUUAAUUCCAUAAUGUAAUAUUACCAUUUACCAUUUUUAUUUUUAAAAAAAUAAUAUGUAAACAUACAACAUAAAAAUGGAAAAACUACAUUAAACAUAUGUAAGAUUACCAUUUUUCACUAAAA
rnacentral:lncRNA from 1 species